rnacentral:rRNA from 1 species
UACGAAGGGUGCAAGCGUUACUCGGAAUUACUGGGCGUAAAGCGUGCGUAGGUGGUGAGUUAAGUCUGUCGUGAAAGCCCCGGGCUCAACCUGGGAAUGGCGAUGGAUACUGGCUCGCUAGAGUGCGGUAGAGGAGAGUGGAAUUCCCGGUGUAGCAGUGAAAUGCGUAGAGAUCGGGAGGAACAUCAGUGGCGAAGGCGCCUGUCUGGCUGACAACUGACGCUGAGACUCGAAAGCAUGGGGAGCAAACAGG